rnacentral:rRNA from 1 species
UCCAUGCGUAGUCUUACUGAGUGGCUGUAUUCGUGCUUCUCUUCGGAGACGCGAAGCUACCCGACCUGAUGUCAUUUUAUCCGAGGGCGCGCCCGCUUGAGAAGACAGCGGUUUGACGUUGUGGUGUUACCCGGACGAGGCGCUUGUCUCGUAAGGGGAAGCUUCCGGGUCGGGCCGUGGCGCGUUCCUUGGCACAACUUUCCGCGGAAGUGGUAGGCGUUGACUUGCCCGCCGCGGGCCAUACUUUUCACAACUCUCGAAGAAAACCUGAAGUCUGAAUACCAAAACAAAAACGAAAAGCAAAACUUUCAACAACGGAUCUCUUGGCUCUGGCAACGAUGAAGAACGCAGCGAAACGCGAAAGGUAAUGCGAAUUGCAGAAUCAGUGAGUCAUCGAAUCUUUGAACGCACAUUGCGCCUCUCGGUAUUCCGGGAGGCACGCCUGUUCGAGCGCCAUUACAAACUCCAAGCGUGGCUUGAUGUUGGGCGAUGUCUUUUUGCGAGAGCGGGAGACACGCCUGGAACGCGUUGGCGCCGCCGCCGGACCACGAGCGUAGCAAGACGAGAGUCAAUCGCAUCGAUUUGGUUUCCGACGGAGGUCCGCCUUGUGACUGCACUUUCGAGUGUAGUUGAAAAACUUCUCAAGUUUGGCCUCGGAUCAGGCGGGGAUACCCGCUGAACUUAAGCAUAUCAAAACG